UACGUAGGGUGCAAGCGUUGUCCGGAAUUAUUGGGCGUAAAGAGCUCGUAGGCGGUCUGUCGCGUCUGCUGUGAAAACUCGGGGCUUAACCCCGGGCCUGCAGUGGGUACGGGCAGACUAGAGUGCGGUAGGGGAGACUGGAAUUCCUGGUGUAGCGGUGAAAUGCGCAGAUAUCAGGAGGAAUACCGGUGGCGAAAGCGACUCUCUGGACGGCAACUGACGCUGAGGCACGAAAGCGUGGGGAGCAAACAGG
rnacentral:rRNA from 1 species